rnacentral:tRNA from 1 species
AGGCCGUUGGCUCAGUGGCAAAGCGUCUCCGUGACAUGGAGAAGAUCGCGGGUUCGAUUCCCGCAUGGCCUACCA